rnacentral:lncRNA from 1 species
GGUCCACCACACAGGGGGCUUGAGUGGGUUGGGCUGGCAGGCCGAGCCCAUCUGCCAGAUUGAGCAGUCCCUUCUAUGAGGUGUCCGUGAUCACUGAUCAACCCUACUUAGUCACUCUUCAGGUUUCAGCGAAGAUAGAGGGACAUGCUCGAGGAGUGAUACCUACAAGUAUAUAUAGAUCUACAUCAAAUGUAGCCUUUUCAAUAAGCAAGACAAAAACCGAGUCCCAAAGGUCCAGGAACACCAAUAAUUUUUUCUUUCUUUUUUAUGUUUUCAGUUCUGAAGAACCGAGCUUUUCUUGGUCAAUUUGUUUACUACCAUCGGUAACCGAAAUAAACGAGCAAUGUUAUUAUUUAAGGUCCACCAAAAUCAAGCCCAGCCCAUCUAGCCGAGCAGGACAGGCAGCACGGCGGCGGAGGACGACGGCAUUUUCUCAGGAUAAACUUUGGGGAUUCUGCAGGGGUUAAUUUCAGUAGCAUGGAUUUUGCAUGUGACUGCAACUAUAUCCCGGAAAAUGGGACCUAGCUAGCUUUUACAUACUACACUCCGCAACCUUGGCUUGGUAAUUGUCAUGCACAAUUUUUUUAUCCGCCCUACAUUAAGAAAUGUGGAGGGAGCAAGGAUGCUAAACUGCAUGCAACCCAAGCAUCAAGGAAUUUCAACCACUAAGCACAUGU